rnacentral:lncRNA from 1 species
UUCUAUCAACAUGUAUCUAUCAAUCCCUUCUACUUGCAAGACAGAAAUAAUAUAUGUAGUUCAAAUGGUGAAAUCCAUAUAAGUUUUAAGAUUAUGUCCUGUUAAUUGUUCCAUUUGGUAGAGAGAGUGAUAACUCAAAACUGCUAUGGAGCUGAUGUAAAUUUAGUUGGCCACAAUGGCUCAUAAGUUUAUUCCUUACUACAUAUAUAGGCCAGUUAAUCUUAAUUUAGUGCAAGCUACUAUUUUCUAUAGAUUGGAGUGCUGAUGAGUCACCCAAAAGGUGUUGGCAUUCAUGGAGUAACUUACUAACUGAUACCUACAUUAUACUGUAUCUUUUGAUUUUGAAUGUGUGCACAUGAAUUUUAGAUGGAAAUUUAUCGGCCUCGGCUGGGAAGAUAAUGGAGACUGCUACACAUGUUCCUUCGUUCCUCCAGAGAAAUAAAGAAGAUAUGGUAGCUGGGGCUUCAAUUGUAUCACCCACACUUAGUAUACACACAUGAAUACAGUUACAAGUCAAAUCACAUAUUUUGCUCAUUUCACAAUGUAAUGUAGGACUAGUUAACUAUUAGUCAUUGUAACAUGUUUGACUGAGAUGAAGCUUCAUUGCACCUUUCAUUCUCUUUAUGUGCUCAUUUUAGUAAUAGUUACUAUGUUCUAGGACUCUAGUUGUAACUGGAUGAAGCUUCAUUGUAACUGGAUUUGUAGUGGAGUUGAAGGCCG